rnacentral:hammerhead_ribozyme from 1 species
AUACAGCUGACGCGUCCAAAAUAGGACGAAAUGUGCGUCCUGGAU